UGGUCAAUAAUGACGUCAGCAACAAAUCAGCUGUUUUCUUGUUUUUGCCGCUGAAAUAAAGUCAGACAAAAAUUUGUUUAUGAGUUCAAUUUUUAGUAAAAGUUGUGUUUUUAUUAGUGAAACUAUUAUGAAUUUGGACGCAAUUUUCCCAGAUUUGAGCGGCUUAAAGCGCGCCUUGGCAAAAUUGGUUUACAAAGACUUAUCAAAGAGUUGUAUGAACGUUUAUGUGCCAUUGAACCGAAGUUUGAGCCGUCUUGCGGCGUUUUCUAUUGGAGCGCUCAAAACGUGGAGCAACAGAAUCUUGUCGCCUAUUUUCCCGUGGAGCACGCCAAGGAUUUGGACUUUGAGCUGAUUAGAAAAAUGCAGGCACUAUUAUUAAACUAUGUCAUUAUAAUGGCUAUAGUGGACAAUACGGGAAAUAUAUUGUAUUAUCAGAUGUCGGAGGGAUUGGGAGAGAGUGUCAUAUAAGAGAUGGAGAUGGAUGUGGAGAUCUUUGAUACAGUGGAGCAGUUGCAACUGAUGCUAGGUUGCUCCCCGUUCGUAACUAAAGAGCCACUACCAAUGUUACGGCACUAUUAAUUCAUUGCCUACAAACUGUCGAACCACGACGAAAUGUCUAAAAAGAUUAGAGCCAAAUCUAUAUAGCUUUAUAGCAACUAAUCCGAUACUCUGAUGCUGAAGGAAAAGCCGUAGGGAAAAAUCGUAUCAAGCUGAUAUAUAGUACUAAACAGUCUCUUAAACUGUCUACAAAUAGUCAUUAUAUAUCCUAUCAGAUCAUAUCUUAAGCAAUCCUCAAGCGUCUCCCCAUUCAUGGAUUACGAAUUCAACAUUUUAUU